rnacentral:RNase_P_RNA from 1 species
GCCUGAACGGCCGCGGGCGAAGCCCGAAAGGGCCCGUCUGAGGAAAGUCCGAGCUCCACAGGGCAGAAUAACGGCUAACGGCCGCCGGGGGCGACCCCAGGGAAAGUGCAACAGAGAGAUACCGCCGCAGCCUGUCUGCGGCAAGGGUGGAAAGGCGAGGUAAGAGCUCACCAGCGCGCGGGGAACCGCGCGGCUCUGCAAACCCUAUUCGGAGCAACACCGCAGAGGGACACGAAGCGCCGGCCCGGCGCGUCCCGAGAAGGUGGCAAGAACCGGCGCGGCAACGCACGGUCAAGAUAGAUGGCCGUUCACGACAGAACUCGGCUUACAGGGCUGGUC